rnacentral:lncRNA from 1 species
AUGCGUGGAGGUGAGAAGCUCGAGCUCCCACAACCAAUGUUACCAGGCCUGCAGAGGGAGCAGCAGAGACCUCCUCCUCAUCAUCUUCACCCUCCACCUCCACACAGAGCGUGGGAACAACUAGGUCAGCUGUAUGACUCCCACCUCCCUCCUCAAGGACAUUCUGUCGUGCCACUGCCCAAUGAGCACUCACUUCGUCUCCAUAAUGGAGGCUAUGCAGGCAGCGGCGGCCCUCCCCCCAACCCCCAUCUUCCCCCCAGCAGGCCAAACCAACUGCUGAAGUUUGGGGGUCCUCAGGAGCAGCAUGUUCCCCGGGGUCCACCACUGCUGGGAGAAGAGAUGUGGGCUCAGGUGCACCAGGUAGGAGCUCUCUAAAUUGGUUAUGAUCACGUUUCAUCAUCCAUACAGACGUACAACAAUCUCUGUUGCAUAUAGUUGCACAAGUUGUCUACUUCGGCCAUGACACUGAUACUUUCAUGUUUCUGUUUACAGCAGAGGGGCUACCCAGGGAAGAUGCUCGGGGGUCAGCUGAAGAGACCGGGCCCUCCAUUAGGAGAGCACUCUGUUAUCCAGCACACUCCUCCACCAUCCAUGCACCCGUCCUCCCGCCCAGCUGCAGAGGACUGUCCCAGCCCCAGCAAAAGGAAAAAGAGUUCGGAUCAGGUACAGAAGCAAACAACAUCUGUAUCUGUUAUACCGAAACAGCCACAAUGAGUGGAAAUGUAUGACCUCAAUUCUAGAUUUGGUUAUAUUAUAAUGUCCCUCUCCCUUUGCAGGUAUCCCAUCCUGGGCUGCAGCGUUUCCCUGGCCCUGCCCAGCCUUUGCUAUCUCAGCACCAGUCAUCAGUCCACCACCUCCCUCCAAAAGCUGCCUUCUGGAACCCCCUUCACAAGAACAACAGCACUCCUUGGCAGCCCCAAAUGUCUGACCGCAAGAACCCACAAUCACAGGAGUUCCAGCUCCGAACAGUAAGAAAAUAUCCCUUCGUUAGAUAUAUGGUACUUGGAGCUAGGGGUUAAUGUUUUACUAUUGACCACAGGAUCAGAUUAGUUAGUUUUAUUGAACUCUAAUCAUCCUUUGUUGUGUUUUUGCUCGUUCCGUCUUGUUUAAC